GUCCCCGGCUGCCGGGUCUUUGAGCUUGACUUAGCCGCACCCCUGCCAGACCCCAUCCCAACCUCACUGACGUGGCUGAGUGCCUUCAGGGACCCCAAGAAAGGGUGGUGGGCAUGCCCUAGGUUGGAGGGGCCCAUGUGGGGGACAAUGGGAGUGACAUAGGUCUCUGUGCCCCAGGAGGUAUUUGACCGGUUGGUUAAAUUAAGGGCUGAAACACGUAGCGGCCAUGAUCAAACUUGCUUUGUCCAGAAAGCACUCUUUGGCGGGAAGAAUGGGCUGGAGGUAUGAAGGUGGAUGUGGACGUCCUUGUCAGCGCUGGAUCUUCUGUUCCAGCUCAUACAGCAAGAGAAAAUGAAGUGCUGUGCGGGCGACUCAGAACUGCAGAUCACAAAUUUAAGACUCCAGGUGUAAUACAACCUGAUACAGGGAACUCAGAGAUGCCAGGAGACCCCGGGAUUCCUGAAGAAUCUCAGAUCCCUGAUGCCACCAGACCAUCAGUCCAGAAGUGCUUGCAGCUGGCUCCCCGAGGCAGCAGCAGAUGGAGCAAGUGUUGCUGAUGGAUUAAAGAGAAAUCUGGUGUGUCCCCAGAAGAACCGAAAACAGGGUCUCAGAGAUGUUCGCGCACCCAUGUCCACAGCAGCAUGACUCACAACAGCCCGAGGUGGAGAUGACCCAAGUGUCUGCCAAUGAAUGAAUGGGUGAACAAGAUGUGGUAGAAUUCAGCCAGGGAAAGGAAUGAAAUUUUGGCAACUGUGACAAUGUGGACGAACCUCGAAAACGUGGUGAAAGGAGCCAGGUACAAACGGACAAAUACUGGAUUCCGUUUAUGUGAAGUGCCCGGAAGAGGCAGAUCCAGAGACACAGAGAGGAGAUGGGCGGGGGUCCGGGGCUGGGGGACGGGCACGGGAGUUGUUGCUCGAUGGGGACAGAGGUGCUGUUUGUUUAUGUUCCACCUUUUUUACACAAUAAAAAACAUUUCAAGAAAAAGAAAUGCACCAUGACGCAAUGAGGUUUCCUGGCUGUCCCCAGGAGCCAGUGUGUGGCCAGGGCAGCUGAGGAGAAGCCCCUGUCACCCCUGGGCCAGCCCCGCCCUGUGUCUGAGGUUCUGGGACGCAGGACGCACUCAUGCACUCAGCCACCUCCCGGGAAGCAGGACUGGGGGGCCUGGCUGGCUUGCUCUUGGUGGUGGUUGACGAGCGGGGUGCAGGGGACCAUCACUUUCGG
rnacentral:lncRNA from 1 species